rnacentral:rRNA from 1 species
CAGUAGCCACGGUAAUACAGAGGAUGCAAGCGUUAUCCGGAAUGAUUGGGCGUAAAGCGUCUGUAGGUGGCUUUUCAAGUCCGCCGUCAAACCCCAGGGCUCAACCCUGGACAGGCGGUGGAAACUACCAAGCUGGAGUACGGUAGGGGCGGAGGGAAUUUCCGGUGGAGCGGUGAAAUGCGUUUAGAUCGGAAAGAACACCAACGGCGAAAGCACUCUGCUGGGCCGACACUGACACUGAGAGACGAAAGCUAGGGGGGCAAAUGGGAUUAGAUACCCCCGUAGUCCCUGUCUCUUAUAC